rnacentral:rRNA from 1 species
AACGAACGCUGGCGGCAGGCUUAACACAUGCAAGUCGAACGCCCCCGCAAGGGGAGUGGCAGACGGGUGAGUAACGCGUGGGAAUCUACCCAGUCCUUCGGAACAACACAGGGAAACUUGUGCUAAUACCGGAUACGCCCUACGGGGGAAAGAUUUAUCGGGAUUGGAUGAGCCCGCGUUGGAUUAGCUAGUUGGUGAGGUAAAAGCUCACCAAGGCGACGAUCCAUAGCUGGUCUGAGAGGAUGAUCAGCCACACUGGGACUGAGACACGGCCCAGACUCCUACGGGAGGCAGCAGUGGGGAAUAUUGGACAAUGGGCGCAAGCCUGAUCCAGCCAUGCCGCGUGAGUGAUGAAGGCCUUAGGGUUGUAAAGCUCUUUCAGUGGGGACGAUAAUGACGGUACCCACAGAAGAAGCCCCGGCUAACUUCGUGCCAGCAGCCGCGGUAAGGCUACGUAGA